rnacentral:rRNA from 1 species
AUGAUGCAGCCGAUGCGGCUGCGGCUGCGGCGCCAAGGCCGCGCCUCCGCCCUCCUCUGCCUCUCCGCCGCCAUCCUCGCGGCUGCUCUGCUCCCCGGCGCCGCCGUCGCAGACGGCGUCACGCCUUCCGAGGCGCGCCUGCUACGCGACGAGGUGAAAGAUAUGUUUUAUCAUGCAUUUGAUGGGUACAUGCAACAUGCUUUUCCACUUGACGAGUUGCGACCGUUGAGUUGUCAAGGGGAAGACUCCCUUGGUGGUUAUGCACUUACUCUUAUCGACUCUUUGGAUACUCUGGCUUUACUGGGUGAUAAGGAGAGAUUUGCUGCUGGUGUGGAGUGGGUUGGUAAGAACGUCCGCUUUGAUAUCAACAAAACUGUCUCAGUUUUUGAAACCAAUAUACGUAUACUGGGGGGUCUGUUAUCAGCUCACCUGAUUGCCAGUGACUAUGCCACUGGUAUGAAGAUCGAAUCUUAUGAUGAUCAGUUACUUCAUUUGUCCGUUGACUUGGCCCAGAGGUUGUUACCUGCAUUUGACACUCCUACAGUUUGUCUUGUAGGUAUUCCAUUUGGAUCUGUUAAUUUAUUGUAUGGAGUCGAUGAUGAUGAAAGCAAGAUAACAUCGACGGCUGGUGGCGGCACUUUGGCAUUGGAGUUCGGUGUCUUGAGUCGGUUGACUAAUAACACUGUUUUUGAGCAAGUUGCAAAAAAUUCAGUGCGUGGGAUAUGGGCACGCAGGUCGAAACUCAACCUUGUCGGUGCCCAUAUAAAUGUCUUUACUGGUGAAUGGACACAAAAGGAUGCAGGAAUCGGCACAAGCAUCGACUCGUUCUACGAAUAUGUUCUGAAGGCAUAUUUAUUGUUUGGAGAUGAAGAAUACUUGUAUGUAUUUCAAGAGGCUUACAAGGCUGCCAUGCACUACCUCCACCAUGAUCCUUGGUAUAUUGAGGUAAAUAUGAAUUCUGGUGCUACUGUUUGGCCACUAUUCAAUAGUCUGCAGGCAUUCUGGCCAGGACUUCAGGUUUUAGCUGGAGAUGUCGAUCCUGCCAUUCGAACACAUGCUGCCUUCUUUAGCGUCUGGAAAAAAUAUGGGUUCACUCCAGAAGGGUUUAAUCUUGCUACAUCCACUGUUCAGAACGGACAAAGGAGCUACCCGCUGCGGCCUGAGUUGAUUGAAAGCACAUAUUGGCUAUUCAAGGCUACCAGAGAUUAUAGGUACCUUGAUGUGGGAAGGGAUAUACUAGCAAGCCUUCAAUAUGCUGCUAAAUGUCCUUGCGGCUACUGCCACAUUUCAGAUGUGGAAACCCACAAGCAGGAUGACCACAUGGAGAGUUUUUUCCUUGCAGAAACGGUAAAAUAUCUCUGGCUUCUUUUUGAUUUAGCUGUAGGCCCUGAUAACAUUGUUGAAAAUGGGCCAUAUAAAUACAUAUUCAGCACAGAAGGCCAUUUGUUACCUGCUACUCCCGAAAUAACCUUGGUAGAUGAGCAUUGCCUUCAUUUUGGAGACCGUGGCUACGACAGUGGUGAUGGUUCCAGUAUACAGCAAAGUGCUAACUGUGCCCAGUUUGAUGAAAGACGGACUGUUUCCAGUCAAAAUUCAUUGUCCAAUGUUUUGUUCACAACAAGAGGUUACAUCAAGGGAGUUUGUCCAGGAUUGAGUCAUGCACAGAAACUUGGCAUAUCGUACCAUGCCGAAGAGGAUAACACGCAGAAUUCUAGAAGUCAUGAGCACCCCGAUGAAUCUUAUGUGGACCAAUCCAGUGUCCAGAUUCAAUCAAGUUCUGUAAUAUUGAUCUCUCAUCCAGCCACAAGCCCACCUGAUGAGCCUUCGAAAACCAGGUCAAGAGCUCAACACCUUGAAAAUAUUGUGGUAACUGGCGAUUCUGAGCCAAUAGAAGUUACUGAUGCUACUGGUGGCUCGUCCGAAGGAAACACUGAAUUUUUUUCCGAGGUCACCUUAAGCAUCUCUGAACAGAUAGAAGUUACUGCUGAAGAGAUUGCGUCUCAGGACAAUCAUAUUGAAGAUAGUACCAGCUGA